AGUGAACGCUGGCGGCGUGCCUAAUACAUGCAAGUCGAACGGAGUGGCGCACGGGUGAGUAAUAUAUAGCUAAACUGCCCCUUGCUGGAGGACAACAGUUAGAAAUGACUGCUAAUACUCCAUAGCGAGGGAUGUGACUGUAUCGUAUCAGCUAGUCGGUGGGGUAACGGCCUACCGAGGCUAUGACGCGUGACUGGUCUGAGAGGAUGAUCAGUAGAAUGUGAACUGAGACACGGGUGGGGAUCCUGCGGGAGUCGGCGCUAGGGAGUAUGGCGCAGUGGGGGAGAGCCUGACGGGGCAGCGGGGCGUGGAGGAUGGCACUGGUGGGGGGGUGAACUCCGUGGGGUAGGGAAGCGGUACCUGACGAAGAAGCACCGGCUAACGCCGUGCCAGCAGCCGCGGUAAUAC
rnacentral:rRNA from 1 species